UUUUGGUGAGGUGCCUUCCGAGUUCCCUGGAACGGGACGCCAUAGAGGGUGAGAGCCCCGUCUGGUUGGACACCGAUCCUCUGUAAAGCUCCUUCGACGAGUCGAGUAGUUUGGGAAUGCUGCUCUAAAUGGGAGGUAUAUGUCUUCUAAAGCUAAAUACCGGCCAGAGACCGAUAGCGCACAAGUAGAGUGAUCGAAAGAUGAAAAGAACUUUGAAAAGAGAGUUAAACAGUACGUGAAAUUGUUGAAAGGGAAGCGCUUGUGACCAGACUUGGGCUUGGUUGAUCAUCCGGGGUUCUCCCCGGUGCACUCUUCCGGCUCAGGCCAGCAUCAGUUCGCCCUGGGGGAUAAAGGCUUCGGGAAUGUGGCUCUCUCCGGGGAGUGUUAUAGCCCGCUGCGUAAUACCCUGUGGCGGAC
rnacentral:rRNA from 1 species